UACGUAGGGGGCUAGCGUUGUCCGGAUUUAUUGGGCGUAAAGAGCGUGUAGGCGGCCAGGUAGGUCUGGUGUGAAAACUCGAGGCUUAACCUCGAGAUGUCAUCGGAAACCAUUUGGCUAGAGUCCGGAAGAGGAGAGUGGAAUUCCUGGUGUAGCGGUGAAAUGCGCAGAUAUCAGGAAGAACACCAAUGGCGAAGGCGGAUCUCUGGGCCUGUUCUGACGCUGAGGCGCGAAAGCUAGGGGAGCGAACAGG
rnacentral:rRNA from 1 species